UACAGAGGGUGCAAGCGUUAAUCGGAGUUACUGGGCGUAAAGCGUGCGUAGGUGGAUAUUCAAGUCGGAUGUGAAAGCCCCGGGCUCAACCUGGGAAUUGCAUUCGAUACUGGAUAUCUAGAGUAUGGUAGAGGAAAGUGGAAUUUCCGGUGUAGCGGUGAAAUGCGUAGAUAUCGGAAAGAACAUCAGUGGCGAAGGCGACUUUCUGGACCAAUACUGACACUGAGGUACGAAAGCGUGGGGAGCAAACAGGAUUAGAUACCCUCGUA
rnacentral:rRNA from 1 species